UGGGGGAUAUUGCGCAAUGGGGGAAACCCUGACGCAGCAACGCCGCGUGAAGGAAGAAGGUUUUCGGAUUGUAAACUUCUUUUGUUAAGGACGAAAAAUGACGGUACUUAACGAAUAAGCUCCGGCUAACUACGUGCCAGCAGCCGCGGUAAUACGUAGGGAGCGAGCGUUGUCCGGAUUUACUGGGUGUAAAGGGUGCGUAGGCGGCUGAUCAAGUCAGAUGUGAAAUGCACAGGCUUAACCUGUGAGCUGCAUUUGAAACUGGUCAGCUUGAGUGAAGUAGAGGUAGGCGGAAUUCCCGGUGUAGCGGUGAAAUGCGUAGAGAUCGGGAGGAACACCAGUGGCGAAGGCGGCCUACUGGGCUUUAACUGACGCUGAGGCACGAAAGCGUGGGUAGCAAACA
rnacentral:rRNA from 1 species